AGAGGAGCCCCAGCCCCAGGAUCCCCAGGUGACCUCAUUCAGGGAUCAGAACUGAACACACACAAAUCACCAUGGAGUCUGUGCUCUGCUGGGUUUUCCUUGUCACUAUUAUAAAAGGUGUGCAGUGUGAGGUGCAGCUGGUGGAGUCUGGGGGAGACCUGGUGAAGCCUGGGGUGUCCCUGAGACUCUCCUGUGUGGCCUCUGGAGUCACUUUCAAUAGCUAUGAAAUGACCUGGGUCCGCCAGGUUCCAGAGAAGGGGCUGCAGUGGGUCGCAAAUAUUAACAGUGGUGGAAGUAGCACAAGUUAUGCAGACGCUGUGAAGGGCCGAUUCACCAUCUCCAGAGACAAUGCCAAGAACAUGCUGUAUCUGCAGAUGAACAGCCUGAGAGCCGAGGACACGGCUGUGUAUUACUGUGCGAGUUACACAGUACCAGGUUGUAUUGAUGAUAACGACUAA